UACGUAGGGGGCGAGCGUUAUCCGGAAUUAUUGGGCGUAAAGAGUGCGUAGGUGGUUGUUUAAGCGUGGGGUGAAAGGCAAUGGCUUAACCAUUGUGAGCCUCGCGAACUGGGCGACUUGAGUGCAGGAGAGGAAAGCGGAAUUCCUAGUGUAGCGGUGAAAUGCGUAGAGAUAUGGAGGAACACCAGUGGCGAAGGCGGCUUCCUGGUCUGUAACUGACACUGAGGCGCGAAAGCGUGGGGAGCAAACAGGAUUAGAUACCCCGGUAGUCCCUGAG
rnacentral:rRNA from 1 species